AAAAGCAAAAUGAACAGGAGACACUAAAAAUCAAGGGAAAAACAGAUGAUACUUCCGUUAAAAGUGACAGGGAUGCUGAGAAAGUCACAUACAAAAAAGCAUUGGAACAAGUACAAGACACUAAAGAGGAGAAAAAGACAGACAGAGACAGCAGUCUGGAACUGACUGAGAUUCAUUGGGCCAAAACAGAUGGAGAAACAAAAGCAAAAAUCUACAAAACUGACACCCAAAGAGAAGUUCUUCAGCUAAUGGAUGGCACAACCCUAGAACGAGAUGAGCUAAACAUCAUGAGAGCUGAACUACAGAGGCAACAUGACGAAAUGGAGAAUAAAAUGAAGAUCAUACAAACUGGCCUUCUUGAGAUGGAGAAGGCAAAGGAUCACCUGCAUAAAUUGAGGGAUGAAUGUAAAACCGCUGAAGAAGAAAAGUCAGUGAUCAUGGAGAGUCUCGAGAGGAGGAGGAACAGCCUGGAGAAGGUUCAAGCUGAGGUACUGAGACUUACCAAGGAGAUUGAUUAUCUCACACAAAGCUAUGAAUGCAAAAGAAGAGAACUGCAACAAAUUGAGACUGACAUACAAAGACAGACAAGGACUGAGGAGACUCAACAGGAAACUAAUAUUCAGAGUGAACAAGAAGAUCAAGAAGUAAUAGCAACUACAAAAUCCAUUCAAGAACAUACAGAGGAUGUUAAGCAGAAGAGAUGCUCUACCACAGUAUGAAGAGAUAGAUGCAAUGAAAAGGAGAAUACAGGAAAUGAAAGAUGAACUAAAGAACAGAUUACAAGACAUACAGAGGAAGGAACUGGAAAGACUGGGAAUGCAAAGAGAACAAAUCGAGUUGGAGCUACGGAAAGCUGAAAUGGAAAGAUAUAAUGAAGCCCUCCAGCAUGAGAGGGAAACUGACAGACUCAUGCUCAUAGAAAAGGAAAAGGAAAUACUUCUGUUAAGGGAGUGUAUGCUGAUUGAGAUCAAUCGACUGAAGAGCGAAGAAACAGAAACAAGUAGUCAGCACUUGGAGAUUAUGGAGCGCCUCAUUAGUGAUGCAGCUCUAAGAGUGGACAGAUUCAGACGGGUGACGGACAGAGCCGUGCAAACGCUGAUGCUGGAAGGAGAUGGAGAGCAGAUUGGAGGAGCUCAAAGAGUGACGACUGAACAGAUGGAAAUAGUCGGUGGAAGGAUGGAGAUUUCUGUGCAUGCCCUGAGUGAAGAGAGGGAGGAAGGAGCGAGAGGAGAAUCCCAGAGAGGAGGCAUAGUCGGGCCAACUUCACGGAGAUUGCGGCUACUGCACUGGAUCAGACGGUGCUGCAGUUGCUGCUGUCCCAGAGACACUGUGGAGGAAACUGAGGACAUUUUAUAA
rnacentral:lncRNA from 12 species